rnacentral:rRNA from 1 species
AUUGAACGCUGGCGGCAGGCUUAACACAUGCAAGUCGAACGAGUGGCGGACGGGUGAGUAAUGCUUGGGAAUCUAGCUUAUGGAGGGGGAUAACUAAGGGAAACUGUAGCUAAUACCGCGUACAAUAGGAUGAGCCCAAGUGGGAUUAGGUAGUUGGUGAGGUAAAGGCUCACCAAGCCGACGAUCUCUAGCUGGUCUGAGCGGAUGACCGGCCACACUGGAACUGAGACACGGUCCAGACUCCUACGGGAGGCAGCAGUGGGUAAUAUUGCACAAUGGGCGCAAGCCUGAUGCAGCCAUGCCGCGUGUAUGAAGAAGGCCUUCGGGUUGUAAAGUACUUUCAGCGAGGAGGCGUUACUCGCAGAAGAAGCACCGGCUAACUCCGUGCCAGCAGCCGCGGUAUAC